UACAGAGGGGGCAAGCGUUGUUCGGAAUUACUGGGCGUAAAGGGCGCGUAGGCGGCCUGCUAAGUCGAACGUGAAAUCCCUGGGCUCAACCCAGGAACUGCGUCCGAUACUGGUUGGCUUGAAUCCGGGAGAGGGAUGUGGAAUUCCAGGUGUAGCGGUGAAAUGCGUAGAUAUCUGGAGGAACACCGGUGGCGAAGGCGGCUAUCUGGACUUCAACUGACACUGAGGCGCGAAAGCGUGGGGAGCGAACAGG
rnacentral:rRNA from 1 species